AUUGAACGCUGGCGGCAUGCCUUACACAUGCAAGUUGAACGGUAACGCGGGGCAACCUGGCGACGAGUGGCGAACGGGUGAGUAAUGCAUCGGAACGUGCCCAGUAGUGGGGGAUAGCCCGGCGAAAGCCGGAUUAAUACCGCAUACGACCUACGGGUGAAAGCGGGGGACCGCAAGGCCUCGCGCUAUUGGAGCGGCCGAUGUCAGAUUAGGUUGUUGGUGGGGUAAAGGCCUACCAAGCCGACGAUCUGUAGCUGGUCUGAGAGGACGACCAGCCACACUGGGACUGAGACACGGCCCAGACUCCUACGGGAGGCAGCAGUGGGGAAUUUUGGACAAUGGGGGCAACCCUGAUCCAGCCAUGCCGCGUGCGGGAAGAAGGCCUUCGGGUUGUAAACCGCUUUUGUCAGGGAAGAAACGCUCUGGGCUAAUACCCCGGGGUAAUGACGGUACCUGAAGAAUAAGCACCGGCUAACUACGUGCCAGCAGCCGCGGUAAUACGUAGGGUGCAAGCGUUAAUCGGAAUUACUGGGCGUAAAGCGUGCGCAGGCGGUCGUGCAAGACAGAUGUGAAAUCCCCGGGCUUAACCUGGGAACUGCAUUUGUGACUG
rnacentral:rRNA from 1 species